rnacentral:rRNA from 1 species
AGUGAACGCUGGCGGUAGGCCUAACACAUGCAAGUCGAACGGCAGCACAGUAAGAGCUUGCUCUUACGGGUGGCGAGUGGCGGACGGGUGAGGAAUACAUCGGAAUCUACUUUUUCGGGGGGGAUAACGUAGGGAAACUUACGCUAAUACCGCAUACGACCUACGGGUGAAAGCAGGGGAUCUUCGGACCUUGCGCGACUGAAUGAGCCGAUGUCGGAUUAGCUAGUUGGCGGGGUAAAGGCCCACCAAGGCAACGAUCCGUAGCUGGUCUGAGAGGAUGAUCAGCCACACUGGAACUGAGACACGGUCCAGACUCCUACGGGAGGCAGCAGUAGGGAAUAUUGGACAAUGGGCGCAAGCCUGACCCAGCCACACCGCGUGAGUGAAGAAGGCCUUCGGGUCGUAAAGCCCUGUUGUUGGGAAAGAAAAGCAGCAGGUUAAUCCCCCGCUGUUCUGACGGUACCCAAAGAAUAAGCACCGGCUAACUUCGUG